CGUGCGCAGGCGGUUAUGUAAGACAGAUGUGAAAUCCCCCGGGCUCAACCUGGGAACUGCAUUUUGUGACUGCAUGGCUAGAGUACGGUAGAGGGGGGAUGGAAUUCCGCGUGUAGCAGUGAAAUGCGUAGAUAUGCGGAGGAACACCGAUGGCGAAGGCAAUCCCCCUGGACCUGUACUGACGCUCAUGCACGAAAGCGUGGGGAGCAAACAGGAUUAGAUACCCGGGU
rnacentral:rRNA from 1 species